rnacentral:rRNA from 1 species
UGGGGAAUAUUGGACAAUGGGGGCAACCCUGAUCCAGCCAUGCCGCGUGUGUGAAGAAGGCUUUCGGGUUGUAAAGCACUUUCAGUGAGGAGGAAGGCCUUAAGGCUAAUACCCUUAAGGAUUGACGUUACUCACAGAAGAAGCACCGGCUAACUCCGUGCCAGCAGCCGCGGUAAUACGGAGGGUGCAAGCGUUAAUCGGAAUUACUGGGCGUAAAGCGCGCGUAGGUGGUUGAGUAAGCGAGAUGUGAAAGCCCUGGGCUUAACCUGGGAAUGGCAUUUCGAACUGCUUGGCUAGAGUGUGGUAGAGGGUAGUGGAAUUUCCUGUGUAGCGGUGAAAUGCGUAGAUAUAGGAAGGAACACCAGUGGCGAAGGCGGCUACCUGGACCAACACUGACACUGAGGUGCGAAAGCGUGGGGAGCAAACAG